GAUGAACGCUGGCGGCGUGCCUAAUACAUGCAAGUCGAGCGAACGGACGAGAAGCUUGCUUCUCUGAUGUUAGCGGCGGACGGGUGAGUAACACGUGGAUAACCUACCUAUAAGACUGGGAUAACUUCGGGAAACCGGAGCUAAUACCGGAUAAUAUUUUGAACCGCAUGGUUCAAAAGUGAAAGACGGUCUUGCUGUCACUUAUAGAUGGAUCCGCGCUGCAUUAGCUAGUUGGUAAGGUAACGGCUUACCAAGGCACCGAUGCAUAGCCGACCUGAGAGGGGGAUCGGCCACACUGGAACUGAGACACGGUCCAGACUCCUACGGGAGGCAGCAGUAGGGAAUCUUCCGCAAUGGGCGAAAGCCUGACGGAGCAACGCCGCGUGAGUGAUGAAGGUCUUCGGAUCGUAAAACUCUGUUAUUAGGGAAGAACAGAUGUGUAAGUAACUGUGCACAUCUUGACGGUACCUAAUCAGAAAGCCACGGCUAACUACGUG
rnacentral:rRNA from 1 species